rnacentral:rRNA from 1 species
UGGGGAAUCUUGCACAAUGGGGGAAACCCUGAUGCAGCGACGCCGCGUGAACGAUGAAGCCCUUCGGGGUGUAAAGUUCUUUCGACAGGAACGAUAAUGACGGUACCUGGAGAAGAAGCUGCGGCUAACUACGUGCCAGCAGCCGCGGUAAUACGUAGGCAGCGAGCGUUGUUCGGAGUUACUGGGCGUAAAGAGUGCGUAGGCGGCGAGCCAAGUUUGGUGUGAAAUCUCCCGGCGUAACCGGGAGGGUGCGCCGAAAACUGGUUGGCUGGAGUAUGGGAGAGGAAAGCGGAAUUCCUGGUGUCGCGGUUAAAUGCGUAGAUAUCAGGAGGAACACCUGCGGUGUAGACAGCUUUCUGGACCAAAACUGACGCUGAGGCACGAAAGCGUGGGUAGCAAACA